AGUACAGCGGCGAACGGGUGAGUAACACGUGGGCAACCUGCCCCAAGGACUGGGAUAACUCCGGGAAACCGGAGCUAAUACCGGACGUGCUUGAGUCACACAAGUGGCUCAUGCAAAGGUAGCUUCGGCCUCCGCCUUGGGAUGGGCCCGCGGCCUAUCAGCUUGUUGGUGAGGUAACGGCUCACCAAGGCGACGACGGGUAGCUGGUCUGAGAGGACGAUCAGCCACACUGGGACUGAGACACGGCCCAGACUCCUACGGGAGGCAGCAGUGGGGAAUCUUGCGCAAUGGGCGAAAGCCUGACGCAGCAACGCCGCGUGGAGGAAGAAGGCCUUAGGGUUGUAAACUCCUGUCAGGGGAGAAGAAGGCACCUGGGUUAAUAGCCCAAGGGCUGACGGUACCCCCAGAGGAAGCCACGGCUAACUACGUGCCAGCAGCCGCGGUAAUACGUAGGUGGCGAGCGUUGUCCGGAAUCAUUGGGCGUAAAGCGCGCGUAGGCGG
rnacentral:rRNA from 1 species